GAUGUUAGCGGCGGACGGGUGAGUAACACGUGGAUAACCUACCUAUAAGACUGGGAUAACUUCGGGAAACCGGAGCUAAUACCGGAUAAUAUUUUGAACCGCAUGGUUCAAAAGUGAAAGACGGUCUUGCUGUCACUUAUAGAUGGAUCCGCGCUGCAUUAGCUAGUUGGUAAGGUAACGGCUUACCAAGGCAACGAUGCAUAGCCGACCUGAGAGGGUGAUCGGCCACACUGGAACUGAGACACGGUCCAGACUCCUACGGGAGGCAGCAGUAGGGAAUCUUCCGCAAUGGGCGAAAGCCUGACGGAGCAACGCCGCGUGAGUGAUGAAGGUCUUCGGAUCGUAAAACUCUGUUAUUAGGGAAGAACAUAUGUGUAAGUAACUGUGCACAUCUUGACGGUACCUAAUCAGAAAGCCACGGCUAACUACGUGCCAGCAGCCGCGGUAAUACGUAGGUGGCAAGCGUUAUCCGGAAUUAUUGGGCGUAAAGCGCGCGUAGGCGGUUUUUUAAGUCUGAUGUGAAAGCCCACGGCUCAACCGUGGAGGGUCAUUGGAAACUGGAAAACUUGAGUGCAGAAGAGGAAAGUGGAAUUCCAUGUGUAGCGGUGAAAUGCGCAGAGAUAUGGAGGAACACCAGUGGCGAAGGCGACUUUCUGG
rnacentral:rRNA from 1 species